rnacentral:rRNA from 1 species
UACAGAGGUCUCAAGCGUUGUUCGGAUUCAUUGGGCGUAAAGGGUGCGUAGGUGGCGCCGUAAGUCGGGUGUGAAAUCUCGGAGCUCAACUCCGAAAUUGCACUGGAUACUGCUCUGCUAGAGGGCUGGAGAGGAGAUCGGAAUUCACGGUGUAGCAGUGAAAUGCGUAGAUAUCGUGAGGAAGACCAGUGGCGAAGGCGGAUCUCUGGACAGCUCCUGACGCUGAGGCGCGAAGGCUAGGGGAGCAAACGGG